rfam:Beta vulgaris subsp. vulgaris chromosome 9, whole genome shotgun sequence.
AGCCAUGCAAUGAAGACAAAGCGAACUAUUCUUUCGCCUUUUACUAAAGAAUACCGUGUGUUCGUUGCAUCAAGUGGCAUACGUUUAUUUUUGGAGGGGUUCCUAAGGAGCUCC